rnacentral:rRNA from 1 species
UCGUGCCUUCACCCGCGGUAAUACGAAGGUCCCGAGCGUUGUUCGGAAUCACUGGGCGUAAAGGGAGCGUAGGCGGCGUGGUAAGUCAUAUGUGAAAUCCCGGGGCUCAACCCCGGAACUGCAUCCGACACUGCCGUGCUAUAUUGAUGGAGAGGUAAUUGGAAUUCACGGUGUAGCAGUGAAAUGCGUGGAUAUUGUGAGGAACUCUCCUGGCGAAUGCGAGCUACUGGACAUUUAUUGACGCUGAGGCUCGAAGGCCAGGGCAGUUUAGGGAUUAGAUAUCCCUGUAGUCUUGGCAGUCAACGGUGCACGCUUGGUGUGAGGGGAAUCGACUCUCCUUUGUGUCGGAUCUAACGCGUUACGCGUGCCUUCUGGGAGUACCUGCGCAAGGUUAUAAUUAAAACGAAAUGAUUUACCCCGGAACUAACAUUGUAUUUUUGGUUUAAUUC